UACGUAGGGCGCGAGCGUUAUCCGGAAUUAUUGGGCGUAAAGAGCUCGUAGGCGGUUUGUCACGUCUGCUGUGAAAACUGGAGGCUCAACCUCCAGCCUGCAGUGGGUACGGGCAGACUAGAGUGCGGUAGGGGAGAUUGGAAUUCCUGGUGUAGCGGUGGAAUGCGCAGAUAUCAGGAGGAACACCGAUGGCGAAGGCAGAUCUCUGGGCCGUAACUGACGCUGAGGAGCGAAAGCAUGGGGAGCAAACAGG
rnacentral:rRNA from 1 species